rnacentral:rRNA from 1 species
UACGUAGGGUGCGAGCGUUAUUCGGAAUUACUGGGCGUAAAGCGUGCGCAGGCGGUUAUGCAAGACAGAUGUGAAAUCCCCGGGCUCAACCUGGGAACUGCAUUUGUGACUGCAUAGCUGGAGUGCGGCAGAGGGGGAUGGAAUUCCGCGUGUAGCAGUGAAAUGCGUAGAUAUGCGGAGGAACACCGAUGGCGAAGGCAAUCCCCUGGGCCUGCACUGACGCUCAUGCACGAAAGCGUGGGGAGCAAACAGG